ensembl:lncRNA
GCCAAGUAACGUCUCUCGUCUCUGACAGCCGGGAAGAAUAACGUAACGUUAGCCAACAAGGAGUUUAGCUCAACGUAAAUGAUGCACGGACUCAAAUUGUACAGGUAGUUACGCAAUAUGUCUCUGUGUAAAGCCGGGGGCCAAAGGAAGUCUGUUGGUACAAGCGAACAGCAACCGCACUCCUCAAAUACCAGUGGAGGGGUACACAUCGCCUCGUGGGAAUUGUUGUUGAAAACAGACAAAUCAGAGGAUAGAAAGAAAGAAAUAUUGAAUUGAGCAGCCAUCUCCAUUCAAGGUCUGACUUGCUUAAUCUCUUGGCUUCUUUGAUUUUCAUGCACUGCUCUACUCAACUGUGACGCUGAUGAGCACACGACCGGUGGCGUUUGAAAUGAAUGCCUGGUAGGGCCUUGAUCAGAAUAUGCUGGAGGUGCUUGAUAGAAGAAGAAGAAGAAGAAGAAGGAGAAACACAUGGAAAACAAACCACCCUUGAGUGCUGCACGCUCUUCGCCUAUUUAGGGCAGCCAUGUCCAGCAGUGGAUUUGAAUAUGCAUGACUAUCCCAGCAACCCUUGCAGCACAGCUCUGAGACCUGACACCAGCCUUUUCAAAGAAGAAUAUGCAUGCAUCACAUUUGAAUAUGUAACGGGCCCUGUCAUACACAAUAAACACAAUGUCCGUGAAAUGGGUGAAUGAUGAUAAAGUACCCAAAAUCGACUUGGAGUGAUACAACGUUCUUAGAGCACAGACGUGGCCUCUAACUAUAUGAUUAGGAAAUUUUUUAACAUUUUAAAAAUAAAAAAUAAAAUUGAAAUUGUUGAAUUGGGAAUAGGAAUUUGGGGA